AGCGUAGACGGCAAGGCAAGUCUGAUGUGAAAACCCAGGGCUUAACCCUGGGACUGCAUUGGAAACUGUCUGGCUCGAGUGCCGGAGAGGUAAGCGGAAUUCCUAGUGUAGCGGUGAAAUGCGUAGAUAUUAGGAAGAACACCAGUGGCGAAGGCGGCUUUCUGGCGAAAACUGACGCUGAGGCGCGAAAGCCAGGGGAGCGAACG
rnacentral:rRNA from 1 species